GCUGUAGUUCAGGGGUAUAGCAUCUACUUUGCAUGCAGGAGGUCCCAGGUUCACUGGGUUCAAUCCCUGGCAUCUCCC